ACUCCUACGGGAGGCAGCAGUGGGGAAUAUUGGACAAUGGGGAACCCGUAGCAUCCAGCCAUGCCGCGUGUGUGAAGAAGGCCUUCGGGUUGUAAAGCACUUUCAGUUGGGAGGAAAGGUUGAUGGUUAAUACCUAUCAGCUGUGACGUUACCCACAGAAGAAGCACCGGCUAACUCCGUGCCAGCAGCCGCGGUAAUACGGAGGGUGCAAGCGUUAAUCGGAAUUACUGGGCGUAAAGCGUGCGCAGGCGGUCUGUUAAGCGAGAUGUGAAAGCCCGGCCUG
rnacentral:rRNA from 1 species